UAGAGGCGGCAGAGACAGGAACUGAGCCAAGGCAGCAGAGGUGGGAGGUGGGAGGGAAGCCAGCC
rnacentral:sRNA from 1 species